UGCCCUUCGGGGCUCCUUGGUGAUUCAUAAUAACUUAACGAAUCGCAUGGCCUUGCGCCGGCGAUGGUUCAUUCAAAUUUCUGCCCUAUCAACUUUCGAUUGUAGGAUAGAGGCCUACAAUGGUCUUAACGGGUAACGGGGAAUUAGGGUUCUAUUCCGGAGAGGGAGCCUGAGAAACGGCUACCACAUCCAAGGAAGGCAGCAGGCGCGCAAAUUACCCAAUCCCGAUACGGGGAGGUAGUGACAAUAAAUACUGAUACGGGGCUCUUUCUGGGUCUCUGUAAUUGGAAUGAGU
rnacentral:rRNA from 1 species